GGAGACGUGCCAGAGCGGCCGAUUGGGGCUCACUGCUAAUGAGUUGUCCUUGUGAUGAGGACCGGAGGUUCAAAUCCUCUCGUCUCCG
rnacentral:tRNA from 1 species